rnacentral:rRNA from 1 species
CCUACGGGAGGCAGCAGUUAGGAAUAUUGGGCAAUGGAGGAAACUCUGACCCAGCAACUCCGCGUGAAGGAAGAAGGUUUUCGGAUUGUAAACUUCUGAUCUGUGGGACGAAGAAAGUGACGGUACCACAGGAGAAAGCCACGGCUAACUACGUGCCAGCAGCCGCGGUAAUACGUAGGUGGCGAGCGUUGUCCGGAUUUACUGGGUGUAAAGGGAGCGUAGACGGCGCUGCAAGUCCGGAGUGAAAGCCCAUGGCUUAACCAUGGUACUGCUCUGGAAACUGUGGAGCUUGAGUGCGGGAGGGGCAGGCGGAAUUCCUAGUGUAGCGGUGAAAUGCGUAGAUAUUAGGAGGAAUACCGUUAGCGAAGGCGGCAAUCUGGCUGGAAACUGACGCUGAGGUGCGAAAGCGUGGGUAGCAAACAGGAUUAGAUACCCCGGUAGUC